GGGGAAUCUUGCGCAAUGGACGAAAGUCUGACGCAGCCACGCCGCGUGAGUGAAGAAGGCCUUCGGGUUGUAAAGCUCUGUCGCUUGGGACGAAAAAUUUGGGAGUUAAUAGCUCUCAGAUCUGACGGUACCAAGAGAGGAAGCACCGGCUAACUUCGUGCCAGCAGCCGCGGUAAUACGAGGGGUGCAAGCGUUGCUCGGAAUUAUUGGGCGUAAAGGGUAGGUAGGUGGUCUUAUUUGUCUGAGGUGAAAUCCCGGGGCUUAACUCCGGAAGUGCCUUAGAAACGGUAAGACUGGAGUGCUAGAGAGGUUUGUGGAAUUCCCAGUGUAGCGGUGAAAUGCGUAGAGAUUGGGAGGAACACCAGAAGCGAAGGCGGCAAACUGGCUAGAUACUGACACUGAACUACGAAAGCGUGGGUAGCAAAC
rnacentral:rRNA from 1 species